AACGAACGCUGGCGGCAGGCCUAACACAUGCAAGUCGAACGCUCCGCAAGGGGAGUGGCAGACGGGUGAGUAACACGUGGGAAUCUUCCUAUCGGUACGGAAUAGCUCAGGGAAACUUGGGGUAAUACCGCAUACGCCCGAAAGGGGAAAGAUUUAUCGCCGAUAGAUGAGCCCGCGUCUGAUUAGCUAGUUGGUGAGGUAAUGGCUCACCAAGGCGACGAUCAGUAGCUGGCUGAGAGGAUGACCAGCCACACUGGGACUGAGACACGGCCCAGACUCCUACGGGAGGCAGCAGUGGGGAAUAUUGGACAAUGGGCGCAAGCCUGAUCCAGCCAUGCCGCGUGAGUGACGAAGGUCUUCGGAUUGUAAAGCUCUUUUGCCAGGGACGAUAAUGACGGUACCUGGAGAAUAACGCCCCGGCUAACUUCGUGCC
rnacentral:rRNA from 1 species